GGGCCGCCGGCUGCCGGCCCCGGGCGGGGCGGAGCCCUACUUCUGGCCGCCCGCGUAGGCGGUGCUUGAACUUAGGGCUGCUUGUGGCUGGGUAUUCGCGCAGAGGCGGGCCGGCCAGCCAUGGUUGCUGCGAGCGACACGGGGCGAGCGCUGGGGGUCCUCGGCGUGUUCUGCCUGCUGCGCUGCUUCGGUUUCAUCAGCUGUAUUUCCCAACAAACAUAUGGCAUUCUGCAUAAGAAUGUCACUUUCCAUGUACCAAGCAAUAUACCUUUAACAGAAAUCCUAUGGAAAAAACAAAAGGAUAAAGUUGCAGAACGGGAAAAUUCUGAAUUCAGAGCUUUCUCAUCUUUUAAAAAUAGAGUUUAUUUGGACACUGUGUCAGGUAGCCUCACUAUCUACAACUUAACAUUAUCAGACGAAGAUGAGUAUGAAAUGGAAUCGCCAAAUAUUACCGAUACCAUGAAGUUCUUUCUUUAUGUACUUGAGCCUCUUCCAUCUCCUACACUAACUUGUGCAUUGACUAAUGGAAGCAUUGAAGUCCAGUGCAUGAUAUCAGAGCAUUACAACACUCAUCCACAACUUAACACGUACUCAUGGGAUUGUCCUUUGGAGCAAUGUAAACAUAACUCAACCCGUAUAUAUUUUAAGAUGGAAAAUGAUCUUCCACAAAAAGUACAGUGUACUGCUAGCAAUCCAUUAUUUAAAAGAACAUCAUCAAUCAUUCCGGAAACCUGUAUCCCAAGCAGUGGUCAUUCAAGACACAGAUAUGUGCUUAUACCUGUAGCAUUAGCACUAAUUGUAACAUGUGUUGUGCUGUAUGUGCAUGUUCUUUAAUUGAGAAGACAACUUAUUCAUUUUUAGGUACUCGGAAAUGUGGCAGAAAACCAGACAGAAGCAACUCCAAUUGAUUGGUAACAGAAGAUGAAGACAACAGCAUAACAAAUUAUUUUGAAAACUAAAAAGCCAUCUAAUUUCUCAUUUGAAGAGAAAUUUUUGAAAAAUUUCCAUUUUCGAAGAACUGUUGGAAAUGUAACUUGAAGCAGCUAUUUUUUUUUAAGAAGAAAUACUUACAAACAAAGAACAUGCAUUAGUUUCAAGUGUCAUCAACCUAUUAUAUGACGGGGUGCUUGCUUUUUUGUCACUAAAUUGUUUUUACUGAUGAUAUGGAAACUUUUGUAAAUAAAUGUAAAUAUGUACA